rnacentral:rRNA from 1 species
GGAGGGUCGGCUUCCUUUUCCGUGUUUGUGGACGUGUACAGGAAUAGCUUGCUUUUUCGCUGACGAGUGGCGGACGGGUGAUUUUUGUCUGGGAAACUGCCUGAUGGAGGGGGAUAACUACUGGUUACGGUAGCUAAUACCGCAUAACGUCGCAAGACCAAAGAGGGGGACCUUCGGGCCUCUUGCCAUCGGAUGUGCCCAGAUGGGAUUAGCUAGUAGGUGGGGUAACGGCUCACCUAGGCGACGAUCCCUAGCUGGUCUGAGAGGAUGACCAGCCACACUGGAACUGAGACACGGUCCAGACUCCUACGGGAGGCAGCAGUGGGGAAUAUUGCACAAUGGGCGCAAGCCUGAUGCAGCCAUGCCGCGUGUAUGAAGAAGGCCUUCGGGUUGUAAAGUACUUUCAGCGGGGAGGAAGGGAGUAAAGUUAAUACCUUUGCUCAUUGACGUUACCCGCAGAAGAAGCACCGGCUAACUCCGUGCCAGCAGCCGCGGUAAUACGGAGGGUGCAAGCGUUUAUCGGAAUUACUGGGCGUAAAGCGCACGCAGGCGGUUUGUUAAGUCAGAUGUGAAAUCCCCGGGCUCAACCUGGGAACUGCUUCUGAUACUGGCUAGCUUGAGUCUCGUAGAGGGGGGUAGAAUUCCAGGUGUAGCGGUGAAUUGCGUAGAGAUCUGGAGGAAUACCGGUGGCGAAGGCGGCCCCCUGGACGAAGACUGACGCUCAGGUGCGAAAGCGUGGGGAGCAAACAGGAUUAGAUACCCUGGUAGUCCACGCCGUAAACGAUGUCGACUUUGGAGGUUGUGCCCUUGAGGCGUGGCUUUCCGGAGCUAACGCGUUUAAGUCGACCGCCUGGGGAGUACGGCCGCUAGGUUUAAUACUCAUAAUGUAUUGACGGGGGCCCGCACAAGCGGUGGAGCAUGUGGUUUUAUUUCGAUGCAACGCGAAGUAACCUUACCUGGUCUUUGACAUCCACAGAAACUUUCCAGAAUAUGAAAUAGGUGCCCUCGGGUUACCUGUGGAAGAACUGGUGCUGGCAUGGCCUGUCGUCAGCC